rnacentral:rRNA from 1 species
GACGAACGCUGGCGGCGUGCUUAACACAUGCAAGUCGAACGGAAAGGCCCUGCUUGCAGGGUGCUCGAGUGGCGAACGGGUGAGUAACACGUGGGUGAUCUGCCCCUUACUUUGGGAUAAGCCUGGGAAACUGGGUCUAAUACUGGAUAGGACCAUGCUGUAGGUGGUGUGGUGGAAAGAUUAGUUUUGGUAAGGGAUGAGCUCGCGGCCUAUCCGCUUGUUGGGGGGGUGAUGGCCUACCAAGGCGUCGACGGGUGGCCGGCCUGAGAGGGUGGACGGCGACAUUGUGACUGUGAUACGGCGCAGAGACCUACGGGGGGCAGCAGUGGGGAGUAUUGCACAAUAGGGGCAAGCCUGAGGCAGCGACGCGGCGUGGGGGGUGAGGGCCUUCGGGUUGUAUACUCCUUUCAGCCAUGACGAAGCGCUUGUGGUGACGGUAGUGGUAGAAGAAGCACCGGCUAACUACGUG